UGGAAGGCAAUGAUGGUAAGAACUACCUAUUUUAUGAGAGAAUUGAGAAUUUUCCCUUGUGAUUAUAAAUCUACCAAUGGAUCCUUCUGAGCCUUCA
rfam:Vigna angularis cultivar Jingnong 6 chromosome 2, whole genome shotgun sequence.